UAGGUUUGGAAUUAAAAUCAAGUUGUGGGUUAGUUUUGGCAAAAACCCCUAAUCAAAACACAAGUACACAAAAUUCAUUAUAUACGGAGACAUACGUAUAUAGUAUUUAUUAAGUUUAAGAUGCGUGAUUUGCCUUACGGACUCACGUGCGUCCUUUUGUUUCCCCAUCAUCGAGAUAUCGUUUUUGCGGUCCGUCUAAAGUCGUAUUUGACUUCAACUAUCAAUCAACCCAAUUAUUUAUAGAGUACUUGCACCCAGAAAUUAAAUCAGAUUAAUAAUCAUCAUAAUUAAUGCGUUUUCUAUAUUGUUUUCAUAUGCGUAGAUAUUAAUUUCAGGACUAAUUGGUUUAUAAGACAGGACAGCUACGCAAUGAUUUACAUUUACUAAAUGAGAUACUAGUAAACUUGAGUAAUGAUUUACAUUUACUAAAUGAGAUACUAAAUACAGUUAAAAGCAUAACAUAUCAAUGUGAUAUGAUUCAUUUUUUUUGUGUACGCUUGUUGUAGUAAUAUAUGUUUCAUAUGUACAUGAAAAAAAUUACACAAAUGUUACUAUCCACAUGUAGAAUGAUAUAAGUGUACACCACUCAACUUGGGCAAUGUACACAGUGAAAUAAAUAAAUUUUCACUGAAACUAUUUCUUUUAUUUUUGGCCACAAAACAUGAUAAAUUCAAAACUGCAACUUUAAAAGCAAUUUGUUGUGUACAUUAUACCAUGUACACAAAUACUUUAUUAUCCACAUGUACAAUAACUCACAUGUACACUAAUUAACUUGUACAAUAAUAUACGGAUAUCAUAUAACUUAAACUAUUUUUAAGUACAUAAAUUUAAACAUGUAAACCUUUCAACCUAGAGCAGUCAGAGCCGGCCUUGGAGGUAAGCGGGAGAAGCGGCUGCUUCCAGCCGUCAUUAAAUUAUCAAGUUUAGCGGCCACAUUUUUACAAUAUUUAUCCAGUAGCUCUAGUGGUAAUGGUGAAAUUUGAGCUAUGUGAAGGUGAGGGUUCGAGACUCUACGCAGUGACAUUUUUUAAAGUAGUUUUUUUUACAAAUAAUUAAACAUAAAUAGGCCACUUUUUCUUAGUUCUGCUUCCAGCCCGGUAAAUACACGGACCGGCUCUGAGAGCAGUACCAAUUUACAAAAAUAUGUACACAAAUCCAUUAACUUAAUACACGGAUAUCAGAUAAUUUUACAUAAUGUUUCAAGUGUACAUUUAUCGUUGAGUACACGUGUACAACUCUUAGAAAUGGUUUUUAAUGUUUCAAGUGUACACAUAUUUUUAUACAUACAUGUGAUAGCCUGUCCAAAAGCAUUGUCUAGGACUGUGAAUUGGCCUAAAUAAAGACCCCAUAGCUUUACAUAAGUGCAUGAAUAUCUUGUUUUAGUUAAUUUAAGUCAUUUUAGAUUCUAUUUUGUAAUAUACAUUGCGAUUAUGUGUUCAUAUGUAUAUACCAAGGGAAAAAGUGCAUAUUUGUAAGUUUAAGGUCAAUUAAAGAGGACAAAUUUGCAUAUUCAAGAAUUUGGGGUCAAAUGACAAUAAAGCUAAUUAUGAAGGGCUUAAAAUGAAAAUAAAAGAAGUUGUUUGGGUAACGCUCGCUCGAUCCGGAUCUCAGGCUCGAGUUUCAGUUUGCCAUGGGAGGAGCUCAAUCAAAGCAAAGGAUCGUGGGAGAAGGUCUUGGUGGUGAUAAGGUUGCGGCGGCGACCUGAAAUCAUUGAGAAGAUUUGAAAUCGUUGAGAACAAAAAGGACUGCGGUGGAAUGGAGCUUGUCGGCGGAGCUUGGAUGGAGCCAUGGAUCUCUGUCUUAUUUUUUAUCAAGGAUCUCUGUCUCUCUAAGCUUGUAAUCAUGGAUCUCUGUUUUUUCAAGCUUAGAAUUCACAAAUAGAGAUGAGUUCACCGUCGUCAUCUGUCGGAGUAAACCCGUAGUCAUCUAAGGUCAUGAGCUCUGCCACGCCGAUGCUUCUUAGCUCGGCCACAAGAAUGGCAACUGGAGAUUGGAGCUUGUCGUCUCUCUCAUUUGCCUCCCUACCUUUCUCUCAAUGUUAGUUAGGUCAUUGGAGAUUUACCAGUGGAAAAAAAGAAUUUUUGUUAUUUGAUUUAGUGAAAAUUAAAGAACGUCGUGGAUGAAUUGAAAAAAUGUAUAAUUUUAAAACUUAAAAGAAAAUGUCUUGAACAUUUUAAAAUUAAAAAGAAAAAUAUGUAAACGACAAAUCUUCUGAACAAAAAAAGAAGAGAAUUAGAUCUGAGAAAGAAGAAUUUGGUAAGAAAGAGAAGAAGUUGAUAAGAAAGAGAAAAUGAGAUCCAUUAGUUAGCUUGUUUAGUUAGCUUAUAAGCAGAAAGUAAAUUUGGUUAAAAAAAACUACCUUUAGUAGAAAGAAGUGUCUUAUAGUGUAAUAUUAAACUAGAAAAGUGUCUUAGACCAGCAUUAUCGGUGGUUCUUAGAUGGACUCUUAAGCCCAAAAGUAAUUUAAAAAAUUAAAAAAAAAAAAUUUAUCUUAAGAGGCUGGUUCCUGGAAACCCUACGGAAGAACCACCUCUUGCUCACACUCUUUGUCUCUCUCUCUCCUUUCCCGCAGAGAAUCUCUCCUUCUCAGACCAAAUUCAGCCAAAAUCAGCGUUGACAGAGAAGAUCUCUUCUUCUUCUUCACCUGUGUGACCGUGUUCGCUGUCACGUAUUGUGGAGCGAUGGCGAUUAACGGCGAAGAUCACAUCUCCGGCGAACGCCCGAUCAUCAUGGUCACCAACGACGACGGAAUAGACGCGCCUGGUCUCCGUUCUCUCGUUCGCGUCCUCGUCUCCACCAACCUCUACGAAGUCCGCGUUUGUACUCCCGAUUCUUUGUGUCAGAUGCCGAGUUCUUGAGAAUGGCUAUGUACCUUCUCUACGAGUUUUCUUCUGGCUAUGGCCUCUUCGAGGCGCAUGGUCUUGAUGAGAUUGGACAAAACACUGAGGCCGUCCGAAGCUCAGUCUCCGACCUCAGUCGCUUUGGCCGUGUUGUCCAGCUCACAGCAUUUCACCCCUUUGAGUCUGCUCUCGAUGCCCUAAACCAAGUUAACGCCGUCUCUGAAGGUAUACAUAUUAAAUUUACAGUGGUGUUUCUGUGAACUCGAACCAUCACUCUGCCUUUUUUCGUAUAUAUUAGGAUACUCUCCUCCCUAUUUAUGUUGUUUAACAAUUUUACAUAGAAAAAGCUUCAGUUUUUUAAUGGUU